UGCACUCACUACUGUAAGUCGCUCUGGAUAAGAGCGUCUACUAAAUUACUAAAA
rfam:Salmo salar isolate Sally breed double haploid chromosome ssa03, whole genome shotgun sequence.